UGUGCCAGCAGCCGCGGUAAUUCCAGCUCCAAUAGCGUAUAUUAAAGUUGUUGCAGUUAAAAAGCUCGUAGUUGAAACUUGGGUCUGGCUGGCAGGUCCGCCUCACCGCGUGUACUUGUCCGGCCGGGCCUUUCCUUCUGGAGAACCUCAUGCCCUUCACUGGGCGUGUUGGGGAACCAGGACUUUUACUUUGAAAAAAUUAGAGUGUUCAAAGCAGGCCUUUGCUCGAAUACGUUAGCAUGGAAUAAUAGAAUAGGACGUGCGGUCCUAUUUUGUUGGUUUCUAGGACCGCCGUAAUGAUUAAUAGGGACAGUCGGGGGCAUCAGUAUUCAAUUGUCAGAGGUGAAAUUCUUGGAUUUAUUGAAGACUAACUACUGCGAAAGCAUUUGCCAAGGAUGUUUUCAUUAAUCAGUGAACGAAAGUUAGGGGAUCGAAGACGAUCAGAUACCGUCGUAGUCUUAACCGUAAACUAUGCCGACUAGGGAUCGGGCGAUGUUCUUUUUCUGACUCGCUCGGCACCUUACGAGAAAUCAAAGUUUUUGGGUUCUGGGGGGAGUAUGGUCGCAAGGCUGAAACUUAAAGAAAUUGACGGAAGGGCACCACCAGGCGUGGAGCCUGCGGCUUAAUUUGACUCAACACGGGGAAACUCACCAUGUCCAGAUGAAAUAAAGGAUUGACAGAUUGAGAGCUCUUUCUUGAUUUUUCAGUGGUGGUGCAUGGGCCGUUCUUAGUUGGUGGAGUGAUUUGUCUGCUUAAUUGCGAUAACGAACGAGACCUUAACCUGCUAAAUAGCAAGCUAGCUUUUGCUGUCGCAGCUUCUAGAGGGACUAUCGGCUCAAGCCGAUGGAAGUUGAGCAAUAACAGUCUGUGAUGCCUUAGAAUGUUCUAGC
rnacentral:rRNA from 1 species